rnacentral:rRNA from 1 species
CGGUACGGGUGAGUAACACGUGGAUCAUCUACCUUCUAGUGGGGAAUACCUCUGGAACCGGAGAUAAUUCCGCAUAAGCUCGUGAGAGGAAAGCCGAAAGGCGCUGGAAGAGGAGUCCGCGGCUGAUUAGCUAGAUGGCGGGGUAAUGGCCCACCAAGGCGACGAUCGGUAGCUGGUCUGAGAGGAUGAUCAGCCAGACUGGGACUGAGACACGGCCCAG